ACAGACAGCUCUCCUGGAGAUUUGGGAAGGGAGAUCAGUGCCAGCUCCACCCUGGCUCCCUAUGGAGUCAGCUCUCUCCUGCCUGAGGACCUGCUGUUUUCCCAGUAGCUAUGCUAACAGACUAGUAAUCCUUUUGUUAGGUUUGUGGGACUCUUGCAUGCUAAAUUUAAGCUAAUUCUUCACUUCAUUUAUAUAGCUGCAUCCCAUUUUCUGACUUUUCUCUUUUUUUUUGCUACAUAUCAACUGUCUCUACUUCUAUUUUUCUGCUGCCAGCAACCUUUGCUGAUUUUUUGUUUUUAUUCAUGUAUAGAUUUCAAUAGGCCAUUCUGAAAGCAUAAUACAAAGGAAAGCUUUCUGAAAACAACAUUCACAGACUAAUGACCUCCACUCUACUAAAACGUGUGAUCUAUCAGUAAUAGUUUUCCCUGUUUACUCCAAGUGCUAAGACCUGUAUCAUUUCUGUGCAACUACAAGUUGCUCUGAGGAGAAGCAGCCCCAGAACUGGAGCAAGCUGCACAUUUAACCAGAUAGCUGGCACAAUUACAGUUAUACCACAAGUCAGCUUAGACUAAGACAUUAAAUGAAACUCAAAGCCCAGUGUCUUUUUCGCCCCGAGGAAUGACUUUUAUCCAGUAUGUUCUCUUAAAAAGAAACAGGCUAAAAGCAGAGGACAAAAAAGCACUCCUAAAGUUAAACAAUGAAACCCACGCCAGCAGUGCCUCCUUGCAGAGGCACUGCUAAGGAAGAGAUGUUGUGGGUUUGUUCUCUCUUCUCAUCCACAGUUCAGGACAGGAGGAAAAAAAAAAAGGAGAGUUUUGUUUCUUGAGAAGAAUAAGAGAGGGAUCUUCUUCUUUCUCCUCUUCUAAGUUAGGAGGAAGCGGCAGUCAAGAUAGGGGUAGGGGAAUGGAGGGAGAUCAUGAGAGAGAGUUGUGCCUUCCCUUUGUCACUAUGGCGCUCCCUUCAGAAAAUCUCACCACUUAGUUGUUAAGACAGGUGACCGCAGAGUGAAGGAGGAUGUGAAAUCUUUGCCAUCAUCCUGCAGAGGAUGGAUGAGAGGACCUGAGCAGACAUAAAGUGGUCUGGAUGAGCUGAUCCAACUAGAGAUGGCUGAAGAUCCCUCUGGACUGCAUGCUCCUUGGAAAGCACAUCUGAAGAUGAGCAUAUCACUCCUAGAAUUUGAAAGACAUUUGAACAUGAAAUUGAAUGGGUCUGCCUCAGUAAAUAUAGGAGCAUAACAUACAUAAUCAAAAAAUCUAAAAAUGACACAACAAAAGUUACAGGAACGCAAUCAAAAUUUCAACCACGCCUGAAUUAUCCUACAUUCAAAAGAAAGAAUACACAGGUGUAAUAGGAUACUCAGCAUGUAUACCUCCAACCACUAAGAUCAAGCCUAUCAACUACAUUAUAGAAGAGUUUACUUUUGCUGAAUUGUUAUGUUCUGUUUUAGAGGUAUCUUUUCAUCACUGAAGAACACAUCAAAAGAUUUUAGUCUUUGACAUUCUUAUCCAGGAUACGUUUCACAGUCUUUCAUCAGCCACUGAAACUGGAUUAGCACCAGAAAAUGUUUAACACACACUCUAUGAGCAAAGAAGAGACCAAGGGGCCUUUGGCUUGCAAAGAAUCUAUAAAAUGUGAUUAUUAAUUUCAAGGUAUCACACAUUUAAAAUAGAGCUCUUCAGCAUUCUUUAUAACUAAAAUAAUGAAUUGAUGAAGAGCUGAUGAAGAGCCUGCCAGAAGAUAAUGUCAGAAUCCAGAAACAAAAUAGCUCACUUAACAACUGAGAUGGGCUCAUAAAAACCUCAGAACAGAAAUGAAACCCUGAUUUUCAAUUUAAUUUCUAAACACCACACUUGCUUCAAUUUACAAUGUAUUAGAGGAGUGGGUAAAAUUAAUCUUUAAAAUCCUCCAUCCCAUUACAGAAAUGGAAAAUAAAACGCUUACUGGUUUAUAGUUCAGUGGUGAUGGAUGCACGCUAGGCCUCUUCUUAGUAUGUACCGAGCUGUUUUCAAGAAAUGCAUAUAAUCUGGAAGCAAAGCUGACAAAACUAUGUUACUGAAAUUGCCUUGAUGCAAACACUGCAAAGGCUGUUUGUUUACUUGAAGAAGUCAGAGCUGGGUGGUGGAAUUUUAACUACUAAAUUUUCCAGUUCUCAUCAUCAGCAUUAGAUGGUGUAUUUAGUUCUAAAACACAGUUAAAUGUUCCUGGAAAUCUCGGACGAUCCUGUGCUGCAGCUGAAGCCACGAAACACAUCCAACUCACAAAAUGAGAUACUCCGUGCUUGAAAAUUACAAUUUUUAAAAAGUGAAAUCCUUAAAAUUCUUGAAAUAUUGUCUGUUGAAAUUCUUGGAAAUAUUUGUUUGAAAAGAAUGUAGCUGCAUGUAGAAAAUGGUUGCAAAACUGCUAUAAUUUUGAGCUAGCAACACAUGCCAAUGUAUCAAUAUUGCACACAAUUAUUUUUUAUGAGAAGGCCAUACGAACAUGAUAAAAUUAACAAUUUCAGUGUUUCAAGAAUUAAUUUAAAAUACAUUUUGCAAGGUUCUUUUAGCUAUUUAUACAUUUUUUUCAUCACAGCGUUACAUCAGAACAUUAAAGAUUCUAUCAGAAAGGUAAGAAAGGAAAACAGUUGUGCAAAAUCAGAACAUAAUGUGAGUUUACGGUUGCUCUGUGAUUCACUGUAACGCAUUAUUAAUCCAUAUGUUAGUACAAAUAAAAUAUUUUGAAAAUUG
rnacentral:lncRNA from 7 species